UACGAAGGGGGCUAGCGUUGCUCGGAAUCACUGGGCGUAAAGCGCACGUAGGCGGAUUGUUAAGUCAGGGGUGAAAUCCUGGAGCUCAACUCCAGAACUGCCUUUGAUACUGGCGAUCUCGAGUCCGGGAGAGGUGAGUGGAACUGCGAGUGUAGGGGUGAAAUUCGUAGAUAUUCGCAAGAACACCAGUGGCGAAGGCGGCUCACUGGCCCGGUACUGACGCUGAGGAGCGAAAGCGUGGGGAGCGAACAGG
rnacentral:rRNA from 1 species